AGUGUUAUAUUAUAUAUUUGUAGCAUUACAUAUAAUCAUUAAUUAUAUUUCAUCUAAGUAUAAUAUUUAGCAAUAAUCUUAUUUUUCAUAUUCCUAUCACAUUAAAGCAUUAUUACUAUUAGCAUUAUUAUAGCUAACAUAAAUAGGGUGCAUGUGUGGAUGUAUGUGCGUAUGUGUGGUUAGAUGUGGUUGUAUGUAGCUUUUACCGUAGUUACUCUUUUAAUCAUUUGUUGUAAAUAUCAUCUGCACAUGGUAUUCCUUCAUCCUGCAGAUGACGUAAACACCAGCAGUAUCAGCUAUGCAUUGAAUGCAGGAGCUCAGGUCAUACCAACCUGGCUAAAGCUUUUGUUUAUUACAUUCUUGUAAUAAAAGUCCAUCCGCCUCACA